CUGCUGCUGCGAGGCCGAGGACGAGCCGGCGGUCAGGCCGUCCAGCACCUUCCUGAUGUUGAAUUUCCUCAUGGUCGCGGCGGGGCUCCCCCGCACCCCGGGAGCCGAGAAUGAAGAGGACCAGGGACAAGUCAGAUUCCCAGGGCCUCUGUGGAGCAGAACAAGAUCCCUUUGGCCAGACACAAUCAGGAUUGGUUAUGGAAUUCAGCCAGCUCCCAGAACUGGAGGUGAGAUGUCUGCUGGCUCUCGGCUGUAGGUGAACAUGUGGGAAGACUCAGAGGCUGGAAGGAGCCUGUCAACCUACAGGGACAUGGGGAUGUGGGAAGAGCAGUGAUGAACCAUCCAGUUAUGAGACACCUGGAGACGAAGACUUAGAGACAAAGAUGUCAAGCUGAAAGGACCCCUGGGAAUAUUCACCAU